AAUCUACUCCCUCCGUCCCAAAAUAAGUGUCUCAAGCUUAGUGUAAUUUUGUACUAGAGCUAGUACAAAGUUGAGACACUUAUUUUGGGACGGAGGGAGUACAUC
rnacentral:pre_miRNA from 1 species